UACGGAGGGUGCGAGCGUUGUCCGGAAUCACUGGGCGUAAAGGGCGCGUAGGCGGCUGGUGAAGGCUUGUGGUGAAAGUCCGGGGCCUCAACCCCGGAUCGGCACGGGCGACUCGCUGGCUGGAGCCCACUAGAGGCGGGGUGGAAUUCCGGGUGUAGCGGUGGAAUGCGUAGAGAUCCGGAGGAACACCAGUGGCGAAGGCGACAGCCGCUGGGCCGUACCUGACAGCCUGAUG
rnacentral:rRNA from 1 species